rnacentral:piRNA from 1 species
UGGGUGUUGACUAUAGCGUUUCAGCUCUCC